UUCCGGUUGAUCCUGCCGGACCCCACUGCUAUCGAGAUGGGACUAAGGUAUGCUAGUCGAACGACCAGAACUAUGUCUGGAAGUGGCACACUGCUCAGUAACACGUAGCUAACCUACCCUUAGGACGUGGAUACCCCCGAGAAAUUGGGGUUAAUCCGCGAUAGGUGUAAUGUCCUGGAAUGGUAUUACGCCUAAAGGUGUAUCAUACAUGUUUGAUAUACGCCUAAGGAUGGGGCUGCGGCCGAUCAGGCUGUUGGUGAGGUAAUGGCUCACCAAACCUUUGACCGGUACGGGCCAUGAGAGUGGUAGCCCGGAGAUGGACACUGAGACAAGGGUCCAGGCCCUAAGGGGCGCAGCAACCGCGAAACCUCCACAAUGCACUCACGUGCGAUGGGGCUAUCUCGAGUGCCACCUGAUGAAGGUGGCUUUUCCUAGGUCUUCAAAGCCUUGGGAAUAAGAGGGGGGCAAGACUGGUGUCAGCCGCCGCGGUAACACCAGCCCCUCGAGUGGUGGGGAUGAUUAUUUGGCCUAAAGCGUCCGUAGCCGGCCGAGCAAGUCUUCCGUUAAAUCCAGCGUCUCAAGCGUUGGACUGCGGGAGAUACUACACGGCUAGAGAGUGGGAGAGGUCAGCGGUAUUCUGGGGGUAGGGGCGAAAUCCUUUGAUCCCCGGAGGACCACCAGUGGCGAAGGCUGCUGACUAGAACACGUCUGACGGUCAGGGACGAAAGCUGGGGUAGCGAACCGGAUUAGAUACCCGGGUAGUCCCAGCCGUAAACGAUGCAUGCUAGGUGUUGGGUUGGCCACGAGCCACCCAAUCACU
rnacentral:rRNA from 1 species